ACUUUUUAAUGUAAACAAUUAAUACAUUUAUAACGGAGGGGGUAUUUAUGAAAUACAUAUAUAGACAUAAUUUGUCUUUAGACAAACAAAUCAGUUACCUGUUUCGGGGCGGAUUAAAAAUAAAGCUUAGGUGGUGGUAGCAGCUACUCAAAUUCCGUCAUUAGAUCCGCCAAAGCUGUUUACUUGACCUUUUCAUAAUUAAUGUUCCGUGAAUUUCAGUUUCGAUUUGAAAGGGCGAACGGAUGUUCAAUUAUAAUUUCCAGAUAUCGGAAUAUUUACACCAGUUUGUACCCCACUCGGGUCGUUGUUUAGCGGUGUUAAUCAGUAGACCGAGGGAAAAAAAUCUUCUAUGUAAAUAUGUGAAUCAUGAUUUUGGGAUGAAUGUUUUCUGUGGGGUACAUGACAAAGCCUCACCCUACAUACCAGUACACAAAGAAUGGGAGGAACCUCUAACUUUAUACAAUCAUUGAAAUAAAGAAUCAUUUGCAGACUAGAUGCAUACUUUUGUAUCACCA